AGGAAAGCAGGGGAUCGCAAGACCUUGCGCUUUUGGAGCGGCCGAUGUCUGAUUAGCUAGUUGGUGAGGUAAAGGCUUACCAAGGCUUCGAUCAGUAGCUGGUCUGAGAGGACGACCAGCCACACUGGGACUGAGACACGGCCCAGACUCCUACGGGAGGCAGCAGUGGGGAAUUUUGGACAAUGGGGGAAACCCUGAUCCAGCCAUGCCGCGUGAGUGAAGAAGGCCUUCGGGUUGUAAAGCUCUUUCAGCCGGAACGAAACGGUCACGGCUAAUACCCGUGAUCACUGACGGUACCGGAAGAAGAAGCACCGGCUAACUACGUGCCAGCAGCCGCGGUAAUACGUAGGGUGCGAGCGUUAAUCGGAAUUACUGGGCGUAAAGCGUGCGCAGGCGGUUUUGUAAGUCAGAUGUGAAAUCCCCGGGCUCAACCUGGGAACUGCGUUUGAAACUACAAGGCU
rnacentral:rRNA from 1 species